GGAUGGAGGGCGAUCUGGUGGUGACAUCUAUCACCCCACUGGAUUGCCAAAGUUGAUUCAGUUGAUCUGUCUGGCUAAGUGGGUGUCCGCUUCCUCCCUCACCCCUCCAUGUGUGUCCCUCCCAAAGCUGUAUGCUCAGUCAAAGGGGGAGACCUUCCCUGAGAGAGGAGGACCAUUCUUCCAUUAAGCAUGUAAGAGUAGCUGUGCUCCUCUGCUGGAACCUCCAAACCAGCUCUCAAGAGGCACUGCUGUGAGCCCAGUGAGAGAGACAGGGUGGU
ensembl:misc_RNA 7SK 7SK RNA